rnacentral:misc_RNA from 1 species
AAAAAGAAGAGAAAGAAGAAGAGAGCAAGCUAGAGACUCAAAGUGGGUAACCUUAAGGGAUAUCCUUUGGAAGCCCGGAGGAGAUUCAUGAAAACAAGAACAGCAUAUAAUAAUAAUAACAACAAGAAGAAGAAGAAAAAAAAACAACAAAAGUCAAAGAAGGAUGAACACCUCGGCGGCGGCAGCUCGGAGGAGCUCCCGGAGGAGUCGUUCGAAAACUCUACGAGCCCUUGAGUCGGACGCACAGCAGCAGCAAUCCCGUUCAGAAACGCCGAGGGGAAGCCGGAAAAGCUCGCGUGCCUCUUCUCCUGCUCCUACUCGAUCUCGGAAAAAGAAGAAAAAGGGCGGCAAAUCCUCAGGAGGCUCCAGUUGCAAAAGUAGCAAUACCCCAAGUUCUUCAGGAGGCUCUGGAAGAGGCUACAAUCCCAAUUUAGUCAACUACAAAGACUCUGAAUAUCACUAUGGAUCCGAUUUCGAGGAUGAGGACGAUGGAGCCUUUGAUGAGGAUCAGGAUGGAGAUGAGGAUGACCCAGACUCGAGAAUGGACUCGGAUGAGUCGGAUAUGUUAUCCAGUAUUUGCUCCACUGAGGAGUGCGACGUGGAAAUCAACCCUGAGGACCCCGUCUUCAUCCCCCCGGACACUCUUCCUCUUUGGCUCGCCCAAGAUGAAGAAGCCCCUCAACUGCAUUUGCCAGACAGCUCCGAGGAUCUGGCUCUCCCGCCCGAGGGCCUUCUCGAUGUUGUUGCCAUCUAUGAGAUUCUCAUUCAUUACAGACUUCUCCUGAGGUUAAGUCCCUUUCUACUAGAGGAUUUCUGCUGGGCUAUGAACUCUGAUGAGCAAAGCAAUCUCUUAAGUGAAAUUCAUAUUGCACUUCUCAAAGCUCUUUUGCGAGCGGAUGAGAAAGAAGGCUCCACAUAUGGACCUGUAGACCAAAAAGACUCUUUUCAAUGUACUUUCUAUUUUGUGGAUAGUGUCACAUGGCCAGAAAAUUUAAAAGCUUUCCUUUCUUCCAAUGACAUUCCUCCAUUCCGUGAAGCGGUUGAACUCAUGAAAGAGAACGAAUAUCCUUUUGGCGAGGACUAUACUAAAGUUAGAAUACGCGUUCUUUCUAUACUUUGCAAUCAAUUCCUCGCUACACUAGCCGUUAGGGAAUACAUAACGAGCGAAGGAACUCCUUCAAUUGAAGAUCAUUGUCGGGUUUGUCAUCGCUUAGGGGAUAUGGUGGUAUGUGAUACAUGUGGUGGAACUUAUCAUUUAACUUGUCUUAAUCCUCCACUUACGGACGUCCCUGAUGAGGAAGAAUGGACUUGUCAAAUAUGUAAAGAUAAUUACAUUAAAGGAGUUACAGAUUGUUAUUCUAAAGGUGAGGAAAGCUCUAAAAUUCGACAUGAAGUAUUAGGCUACGAUCGACGGGGAAAUAAGUAUUGGUUUAUAUCUCGUAGAAUUUUUAUUGAGCAUAAACCGGAAGAAGACGAUGAUAAUAAUGAACCAAAAGUGUCCUAUUUUUCUUUUAAAAGUCAAUUUGAGGAAGUAAUGUAUGCACUUGAUCCUGAUGUCUACGAAACGGAACUUUGUGCCACAAUAGAAAAUAUGAGACCUGAAAUUGAAAGGCAAAUACUUAUGACAGAAGAAUUAACGCAGGAAAAUAAAGAUAGUAGUCGAAAGACAUAUUUAGAAAUAGAAAAUGAGGCCAUAAAAAAGGUCCAGGAUCAAAGAUCUGAGGCAGAAACUAAACGUUUCGAAGAAGAAAAACGUGUUCAAGAGGAAAUGCGUAGUGGGAAUGACCACGAAGAUGAGAUAAUCGAGAAGGAUGAAGGGGAAAAAAUUAAAGAGAAAGAUUCAGAUCGUUCAGAUGAAGAGACUGAAAUUAAGGACGAAGAUCUUUCAUGCAAUAAUGAUAUAGAUAUUAAAGAUGAGAUUAAUAUUGACUCGAAAGAAACUAUUACUGAUGAUUUGAAGGAAGAAGAUGAAAUAAAAAAAGAGACUAAUGAAAUAUCAACGCCAAGUAAAGAAAAAGUAGAUGAAAAAUUAGCCGAAGAACUCCGUUUGACGCGUCAAAGUGUACUUCAACUCAAUGCUGGUACUUUUUACUAUAAAUUGGGACAAGAAGGCAAUUAUCGAAACUAUGUCAAUUCUUACACAACGAAUGCUUUAGCUAUCAGUAAAGUUCAAGCUAAUGAAGAGAGAGAUAAAAAAAGAUAUAUUAGCCACAAGUUCUCUUUGACGGAUGCCUCUGUAUUCAAAUGGCAAGGAAAUCUUUUUGGUACUCGGAAGUUGUUAAUGAGCACUGUGCGCCAAACACUUAUACAUUUGGAAAAUAGUAUACCUAGUAUGUUCAUGCAUGCAAACUGGAGCAUUCUUCGUAAACCCUGGAUUGGUGCAGUGAAUCAAAGUGUGACAUCUAGAGAUUUUAGUCGUGCUUUAACUGUCCUUCAGUGUUGUAUGAGGCCUUGCAUUAUGCUUAAUGUUUGGAGGGAUCAGCUCGGUCAUAUCAAUCUCAAAAGGAUUACUGCUGGAAUGAGAGAGGAAAAGAAAAAGAUGGAAAAACGCGAAAAACGUGAAAGCGAUGAUCGAGAUGAGAGGCUGAAGCCAUACAUGACAUUUGUUAAGUAUACAUUAGGAGUGAAACAUUUGAUUGUGAAGCAAAAAGGAGAAGAAUAUAGGUCCCAUGGCCAGCACGGUUGGCUAUGGCUUUCGUCAGUACGUAACUUCAACCCAACAGAUUCACGUACGUUAGGACUUAGGGCUGGUCCAUAUCGUCUUGCAGUGAAAUAUACUGAUACCAGAGAUGGCUCUAGUAAAGUUGUUCUGAUGGAGCCUCGGGCGUUUGAAUAUCUAUUGAAAAGACAAGCAGAAAUAGAAGCAAAAAAGAACUCCAUGUCAUCUGAAGAGGAGGAAAGUAAAUCCUCUGAUAACUCAAAGAUUGCAAUUGAGAAGAAAAAGUUGGAAGAAGCCUUAAGGAAUGCUAGACUUGAUCGCCAAAUACCUCCCGAGGAUGCCUUAGUUGAUGUUGUAGACGUUGAAAAUGGAUUAUCUAAUCCUACACGAGUUUUGUUUCCUAAAGUUGCUAAAAAAGCUCAUGUGAUUGAUGAUUUUCUUGCUCGAAGAUUGCAAUUAAAGACUAUUGAAGAGCAAUGUUUGACAGAAAAGAAAAAUGAAUCCGACGAAGUUAACGAUAGCGAAUCUGUUGAAUCUAUCAAUGAUAAUCCUCACAAUCAAAAGUAUGAAGAAGUUCUUUCAAAAGUAAAAAAAGAUAUAUGGAUCAUCAUCAAUAAGCUCAAAGAAGACGCAAAGAGUAGUUUUCAAAAGUUUAACUGUUUUUCACCAACGUGUCGCAAUUAUAAAUCUUUCACUUUGUCCUUGACACCUUGCUACUCAACAAAUUGUCCUAGUAGAAGAUCCCCAUUGAAAGAAGCAAGAGCAUUCUACAUCUCUGUUAUCAAUAAAGCACCUCAAGAAUACGGAAUUACAGUUUCUGAAUCACUUUUUUAUCAAUCUUUUACAUCUCAUAAUAUGGCCCUUCAAGCUUUCAUGAAUCUUUUGAAGAGUUUGAUGCAAAAACCAAGAAAUAUUAAGAGUGGCGGUUCUUCACUCCAGAAUGGAUCUGUUAAAUCAGAAUUAUGUGGAACACCAGAAUCAACUGCCAAUGACUCUAGCGCCGCAAACAAACGAUGUAAUAGUACUUUCUCCGAUCUCACAAAGUUAGAUACUGAAAAGGAGGAAUCUGAUCGUAUUUAUAGCUCUAAAAAGACCUAUAAGAAAAUAUAUUUAAAAAGGGUUAAGAAUUCAAGUUCUGACAAAAAAUCCAGUAAGAUUGUAAAAUAUCCAGUGGCGCCUCAUUUUUUCUCUAAAUCCCGCAAGAGUAGGAGUAUUUUAAUUCUCUCUAGACAUGACAGUAAGCACCUUGCACGUAAAGCUGGAGCUAUUAAUGCCGAGGGGUUCAAUUACUCAGCGAAGGUGAACAAUUCAUUUUGGCCAUAUCCAUGUCCAAGGCCUACUUUUCGUACUUCAUGGCUGUAUCGUACAGCUUCUCUCUCAUCAAUCCAUGCAAUUGCCUUACAAAUGCGCAUUCUUUGGGGUUGUAUUCGAUGGGACGACAUGUUUGCCAAACCUCUUACUGCCGAAGGAAAACAUCAAGUUACUACUGACACCAGUAUUAUUACAACAGAGAUACUUAAACAACGAUGUUCCGGGCGCCAUCUUGAAAAAAAUGAAUUUCUUGUGAGGAAAGUUAUCAUACCACUUGACGCACCUAAAACUGUGGUUGAAGUUAUUCCAAUUCGAUCAGGUCUAAGGAAACGUAAACGGGCAGAAUCUCCACAACAAUCUGAACCAAAAGUGGAAGAAGAAUGGUCCGAUGAAUCUCUAUUAGAAUUAUGGGAAAUUAGAGCUUUUCGAGAAAAAAUUGAGAAGGAAAAGGCAAUGAAUACUGUAACUCGAUCUAGAACUGGAACAGCGAUUAGAGAACCUGUUAAAUACGAUCCUGGUCUUUCAAAUGAUUACCCUAGGAGAGAAAGAAAUGUUAAAAAUAAUGAAAAUGAGCAACCACAACCAGGCACACCUCAGCAAACAAAUAUUAAGACGAACAGAGAGACGAUUCAGCAGUCUUCGCAGUCAAAAAAACUUUUGGGAACUCAGGUUAAUAGUUCAGUACGGCCUUGCACUCCAACUAUAAUUCGAAGGGUUACUAACCCUGAUGGUACGAUUUCUCUUGUAAAAUCUACUCCUACUAUGAAAUCAAUUGAUUCGCCAUCACCCACUUUGAAUACUCAAUCCUUAAACAGAGCACCAUCUACAAUUGCACCCACAACAAAGAAAGUAUUUAUUUCUAAGGAUGGAAAAAUAAUUGGAACACAAGUUGUUCCCCUCGGGGGGACUGGGAAAUCCACUGUUAGUACCCCUACUGUUCCAUCAAAGCCGACAGUAACAACAACAGCAUCUUCUACUCCUACUCAACAGAAAGUCCAAAUUGUUCGUAGCAGUGAUGGUAAGAUCCAAGUAAAAGGACUUUUGCCCGGCCAGCAACUUGUACAAAUGCCAGAUGGCAAAUUACAAAUAUUUUCUCAACCCAACAGCUCUACUACAAGCACCCUUAACUCCACGAGUAAUUCUACCAUCUCUAAUUCGCAAACAUAUUCCAAUACUAAACCUGCAGGCUAUGAAAUGAAAAAUACAAACAGUUCUACUAUAGAUUCUCCUGGUAAACAACAAAUAGUUGCCCAACAACUACCUCCAGGCUCUCAAAUUCCUCCUGGAAUGACGGUGUUUAUGUCCAAUGGAAAAACUUACUGCAUUCCAAAAGCAGCUACACUAGCUGCUCAACAACAUCAACAGCAGCAGCAACAACAACAAAGUCAAACACAGUCCCCAACGAUUACUAUUAAGAAACCAUCUCUUCAAAUUUCUCCGGCAACGAAUAAAGUACAAGCAACAUCUCCUCAGGCCCAAAUACAACAACAACAACAGCAACAACAACAAUCACCGAAUCAAAAAUCUCAGACUGUUAGUGUUAUGUCGUUAGGUUCUAAUACAGUAACGUUUAGGGGAAACCAAAUGAUAGUAUCUGGGCCUGACCAGGCUCAGGCCCAAUUAAUUGCAAAACAUUUAAGCUCUGGGACUGCGCGCUUAGGUAACAUAGGUGGUAAACAGGUUUUGAUAAUGGCACCAAACUCUCAGGCGGAAGAACAGCAACAAUCACCCCAAAUGUCUAAUAUCACAUCUAUUUUACCUCAAAAUCCCAUAUCACCAUCUCAAAUUCAGCCAAAUAUUUCAGACACUGGGAGUAUUUUGGCCAAUACCUUAUCUUCUCCAUUGAAACAAGAUGUGCCAUCAGACGUACAGUUGCCUAAAGAAGCUGCAAAUACUUCUUCUGAACCUCAAAUUUCAUCACCUGCUCAGGUUACGGCUCAACUCAUUCAAACUCCACAAGGUCCUAGAAUCAUUCUUCAAGGCAUUCAAGGGGCAAACUUAUCUAGAGAGCAAUUACAGUCUAUUCAACAACAAGUAAAAACUCAGCUUCUUAAAGCGCAAGCUGAAGCUAAGCUCCAAAAUCGUGUGCCUCCAACAAAAAUUGCAGUUGUUUUACCGCCUUCAAUCCAAUCAAGGAUUGAUCAACAACAUAGACUUCGCCAAGAAGCAGAACAACUUAAAAGAGAUCAAUCCAUGGCCUCAUCUCCUCCGCCUACUGUAGUUAAUCAAGAGCCCCCAAUUUAUGAAACCCCUAAGCAGCCAUCCUCAUCACCAUCCGUUUCUCACCAACAGCAACAAGAAGAACAAAAUCUGGUAUCUCCUUUACCACAUAAAGUGGUUCAAGCAGCUCAGAGACCCACAGCCGUUCACCAAACAACAUCUGGCCAACGUAUGCUUGUUGUAACACAGUCUGGCCAAAAAAUAUUGGGCGUUGCAAAUCCCAAUAUAAUUUCUCAUGAAGAGACAAGAGGGGAUACUUCUGAAAUUAGCAAUAGUAGUAAAGGAGCUCCAAGUGACGCAAGUAAGUUUGAGGUUACGCAGGAAUAUAUUCAACAAACAAUUCAGAAUGCUCUCACUGAUCAAGACUUGGAACCAGAAAUUGAGCAAAAGUUAUUGGCAUUUCAGGAGAGUCAAAAUUCUGAAGAUAUCAAGGAUUCAAAUAUUGAAUCAACUUCUGGUGAGCCUAUGGAGGAUGAAUGGCAACCAAAUGCUUGGGAGGAGAAACAAGCCUCCAAAAUUGAUAUUGCGCAUGAACAACCCCAACAUAAUAUAGAAAUUGAUUCCUGUAUUUCUGAGGAAACAACCAUCACUACACAAGAGGAGGAACCAGCACAUAUAUCACCUCCUAAAAUUAAUACCUCUAUUUCUACACCCCAUAGACCUAGAAGUGUCUCGUCUUCAUCUGUUAGAAGACUCGAUGAAAAGAGAAGGCAUCAUAUUGAAAACAAAAUAUCAUCUAUGCUUUUCCGUCAGAAAGAACAAUUAAAGAAGGACAUUGCUAAAAAACGAGCACUACAAGAGAAAGAACUUCAGUUUGUAAUUCAAAAAGAAAUUGAUAAAGUAAAAACUAAUCUCUCCGAUCUAAACCGUAAAGACACAUCAUCAUCCUUUAAGCGUAAAAAGGAAGAUGAAUCUACUUCACCGUCAAACCGAAAAAAGAAAAAGAGUGGAAGUUCUUCCUCAGUACCACCAGCUGCGGCCAUUCAAGCUGGAAUAAUAAAAAAAGAUAAAGUCUAUUGCAUUUGCAAAACUAAAUAUGACGCUACAAAGUUUUACGUAGGCUGUGAUACCUGUAACAACUGGUUUCAUGGAAAUUGUGUUGGUAUUACUGAAGAAAUGUCCAAAACCAUGACAGAAUAUUUUUGUGAUGAAUGCAAGAGUGCCAAAGACAAUCAGGAAAUUUAUUGUCUUUGUCGUCAACCCUAUGAUGAUCUACAAUUCUACAUAGGAUGCGAGCGAUGUGCUGAUUGGUUUCAUGGACGAUGUGUCGGCAUUUUACAAGUUGAGGCUGAUAAUAUUGACGAGUACAUUUGUCCCCGCUGUGAUUCUAACACAUCUUAUAAUUACGCAAAUCUAAAACCCUUGAAUGAAAGUGACAAUGAAUUGGUCAAAAAACUUGUCAAACAGCUAAUUUCUAAUCGCAACAGUUGGCCGUUUAAAGAACCGGUGGAUCCAAAUGAUGUGCCUAAUUACUACACUGUUGUUAAGGAGCCUAUGGAUCUCCAAACUAUCGAACUUCGUGUCAAUCAAAGUCAGUAUCAACGACUCAGUGAUUUUGUUGGGGACGUCAUGAGGAUAUUCGAAAACUGUCGAUACUUUAAUCAGGAUAACAGUCAAGUUCUUAGAUGCGCUGAAAGUCUUGAAAAUUAUUUCGCUCAAAAGUUAGCCCAUGUUAGAGAAAAAGUGGCCCCUUCGUAGAAUUAGGCCCAAAUGGAUCCACUCUUAAACUCUUAUUUAUUUUUUACCUUUAGGAGGCAUUCCAAUUGAAUUGAAAAAUAACAAUAUUUAUAUUUAUUUAAAUAAACCAUAGAGAUCCGAAAAAACAUUUGAGAUAUUCAAAAAAUUGCACCAACCGACAAAUGAUAUCUUCCUAGUCAUCCAUGUAGCACAACACAAUAUUUUCUUCAGAAACCAACACGCCAAAAAGAUACUCUCAAAUUUUUGAUCGAAGGGAUCUUUUCCACAGGUCGCAUUGUGGAAACUCACAACCACAUUUUUUGGUAAUUCGUCUAGGUGAGAAAUAAAUUUUUCUAACUUAAUAAUGGCAUCCGUUUGACAAGAAUCUCUAGGGAUCUCAAUAUAUAUCUUGGCUGCUGCAUCAAGUCUUUGAGAGAGCCUUUCGGCCUUCACGGCAACUUCUUCACUAUCAAUAUCACUGUGGCUUUUAAAAUCAUUUAUUAUAACUCCUAAAGUAGAUUCUAAACGGCUUUUCUCUUCAGCAAGGGAUUGCGCCUUUUUCUUGAAAGCUUCGAUUUCUUUCUCAAUAUCAUCUAAAAUUUCUAGAAUGGAGUCUAGUUCAAAUUCUUGUUCAGGCUCAAGUUCAGUCCGAUCCAUAUUAUGGAAAUAAUUGUAUCUGUAAGUAAUGUUAAAAAUGCAUAUAAAAAGAGUUAAAUAAAAUCCCAAAAAUUAA